UACGUAGGGUGCAAGCGUUGUCCGGAAUUAUUGGGCGUAAAGAGCUCGUAGGCGGUUUGUCGCGUCUGCUGUGAAAACUCGGGGCUUAACUCCGGGCCUGCAGUGGGUACGGGCAGACUAGAGUGCGGUAGGGGAGACUGGAAUUCCUGGUGUAGCGGUGAAAUGCGUAGAGAUCAUGAGGAAGACCAGUGGCGAAGGCGGGUCUCUGGACAGUUCCUGACACUGAGACACGAAGGCCAGGGGAGCAAACGGG
rnacentral:rRNA from 1 species